UACGUAGGGUGCGAGCGUUAAUCGGAAUUACUGGGCGUAAAGCGUGCGCAGGCGGUUUGUUAAGUCAGCUGUGAAAGCCCCGGGCUCAACCUGGGAACUGCGUUUGGUACUGGCAAGCUAGAGUGUGACAGAGGAUGGUGGAAUUCCCGGUGUAGCGGUGAAAUGCGUAGAGAUCGGGAGGAACAUCAGUGGCGAAGGCGGCCAUCUGGGACAACACUGACGCUGAAGCACGAAGGCGUGGGGAGCAAACAGG
rnacentral:rRNA from 1 species